rnacentral:pre_miRNA from 1 species
GUCCCAAAAUUCUUGUCUUAAAUUUGUCUAAAUACGGAUGUAUCUAGUUACAUUUUAGUGUUAGAUACAUCCGUAUCUAAACAAAUGUAAGACAAGAAUUUUGGGAC